CCUACGGGAGGCAGCAGUGAGGAAUAUUGGUCAAUGGCCGUAAGGCUGAACCAGCCAAGUCGCGUGAAGGAUGAAGGAUCUAUGGGUUGUAAACUUCUUUUAUAAGGGAAUAAAGGUAUCCACGUGUGGAUAUUUGCAUGUACCUUAUGAAUAAGCAUCGGCUAACUCCGUACCAGCAGCCGCGGUAAUACGGAGGAUGCGAGCGUUAUCCGGAUUUAUUGGGUUUAAAGGGUGCGUAGGUUGUUUUUUAAGUCAGCGGUGAAAGUUUGUGGCUCAACCAUAAAGUUGCAGUUGAAACUGGAAGACUUGAGUGGGUUAGAGGUAGGCGGAAUGCGUGGUGUAGCGGUGAAAUGCAUAGAUAGCGCGCAGAACUCCGAUGGCGAAGGCAGCUUACUAGGCCAUAACUGACACUGAAGCACGAAAGCGUGGGGAUCAAACAGGAUUAGAGACCCUGGUAGUC
rnacentral:rRNA from 1 species